GUCAACCGUUGUUGGUUGCGUAUGUAUGAGUGCGUGAGUGUAGUGGCGAGCUUUUUCACCCAGUUUUGGUAGCUUCGGCUUGUGA
rnacentral:ribozyme from 1 species